GACCCGUCUUGAAACACGGACCAAGGAGUCUAACAUGCUUGCGAGUGAAUGGGUGUAGAAACCCAGACGCGAAAUGAAAGUGAAAGUUUGUCUCUCACACGACCCGGCCAGCCUUGUGCUGCUGGUGCAGUGUGGUGUCAUCGUGAUAGCUUGCUAUAUGGUGAACACAGAGCAGUCAUGUUGGGACCCGAAAGAUGGUGAACUAUGCCUGAGCAGGACGAAGCCAGAKGAAACUCUGGUGGAGGUCCGAAGCAGUUCUGACGUGCAAAUCGAUUGUCAGACUUGGGUAUAGGGGCGARAGACUAAUCGAACCAUCUAGUAGCUGGUUCCUUCCGA
rnacentral:rRNA from 1 species